GGAAGCUGUAUCACCUGUCCACUACCUUCAGGUUACUAUAUAGAGGAAGCUGUAUCACCUGUCCACUACCUUCAGGUUAAUAUAUAGAGGAAGCUGCUGUCCUGUCCACUACCUUCAGGUUACUAUAUAGAGGAAGCUGUAUCACCUGUCCACUACCUUCAGGUUACUAUAUAGAGGAAGCUGUAUCACCUGUCCACUACCUUCAGGUUACUAUAUAGUGGAAGCUGUAUCACCUGUCCACUACCUUCAGGUUACUAUAUAGAGGAAGCUGUAUCACCUGUCCACUACCUUCAGGUUACUAUAUAGAGGAAGCUGCUGUCCUGUCCACUACCUUCAGGUUACUAUAUAGAGGAAGCUGUAUCACCUGUCCACUACCUUCAGGUUACUAUAUAGAGGAAGCUGUAUCACCUGUCCACUACCUUCAGGUUACUAUAUAGAGGAAGCUGUAUCACCUGUCCACUACCUUCAGGUUACUAUAUAGAGGAAGCUGUAUCACCUGUCCACUACCUUCAGGUUACUAUAUAGAGGAAGCUGUAUCACCUGUCCACUACCUUCAGGUUACUAUAUAGAGGAAGCUGUAUCACCUGUCCACUACCUUCAGGUUACUAUAUAGAGGAAGCUGUAUCACCUGUCCACUACCUUCAGGUUACUAUAUAGAGGAAGCUGUAUCACCUGUCCACUACCUUCAGGUUACUAUAUAGAGGAAGCUGUAUCACCUGUCCACUACCUUCAGGUUAAUAUAUAGAGGAAGCUGCUGUCCUGUC